UCAUCCCCUCAUCCUCCUCGAAUACACAAUUUCUUUUUUCACGGUCUAGCCAAAUUUCCCAAUCCGUCGGCGCUCACCGCCUUCUGUGCCGCCUCACUUGCGCCGGCGACCGGAUGACGCCUGCAUCCCCUCCAAUUCAUCUUCCUCAUCCCGAUCUGAUCCUCCAGCCCUAGUUCCACAAGCAACAUGCCGGAGAUGUGUGCGGGAGGGAUCCAAGCGAGGUGCCUGGCUAGAGGCGCCACAUCCGCCGGGGAAGACGAGGGUUCGCUGGGGAAGACGAGGGUUCAGUCAACGCAUGAGAGAGCCACUACAAUGGAAGGAUGCGAGGGUACACAGGGUCGGCUUCGGCCCCGGCGUCGACGAGGAAGCGGAGCCGGAGGAUGUCGCUUGCUGCAGAUGGGGGGUCGGCCGCGGCGCCAUCGAUGGAAGUUGCACGCAGCGCCGCCGCCGUCGAUGGAAGCCGAGCGCAGCGCUGCCGUUGACGGAAGCCGGGUGUAUCGUCGGAUGCCGAAUAUGCCGCGUCGCGCCGCUGCCGCCGCCGCCGCUGGGCGUAGCACUGCCUCCACCGCCGGACGCCCUAUGCCAUCGCCACCACACUACCACGUAGGCCAGGGCACAAAGCUGCCAUCCAAUGGGUUGUGGAGAAAAUGAUGUAUCCUAUCCAUAUCCGUAUCCCUGUAUCUCGGUAACAUAGAGCAAAGGAUGUUGCUUGCUGCAGAUGGGGUGACGGCCGCAGCGGCAGCGACAGAAUAUUUUUUCUGGUCAGCCUACAGAGACAAGUUCUGGCAAGGUGAGUUUAUGUUCACACAGUUUCUCCAUUUUCCUUAAGAUCAUAAAGUGCCAACCAUAUUUUCCUUGUUUUUUUUUCAUUAAAUGGGUGGUUUGAUACUAUUAGUAAUAUUGUAUAGUGAUAAGCAGGAAGCAUGUCAGUAGAUAGGAGUUGGAUGCGCAUGAGUAGGGCAACUGCAGAGUGGCAAAAAGGGUUGCAGGAAUUUUUAAAUUUUGCAUUUCAAGAUGAUAAUCCUGGGGAUAAUGCCCCCUGUCCAUGUAGAAGAUGCCUUAAUGUGGUGCACAAAACACGCUCCGAAGUGCAAAGUGACUUGCUAAGGAAUGGAUUCGAUGAAAGUUACAUACAGUGGGUUUACCACGGUGAAGAUUCAGAUGAUGACAAUGUCACGGGAAGAUUCAGAAGAACGUAAGGAAAGGGAAAUGCUACGGGAGGAUAUUCUCAAAAUGAUUACUACGCAAAGCGUAGCAUCGGAACAACAGUCUGAUCUGGCAAUAGAUUGUCCAACUGAGAAUAGAGAACCACAUGACACAACAAAGAAGGCUCGAAGCAUUCAGAACAACACAGUUGUGAAAGCACUUUUUAACGGCGCUAAUUUGCAAGGAACAACAAGUACUACCCGGCAAAAUAUUUCUUCACAACAUCUUAGGAAUGUUGCUAGAAAUUUUGUACGGUCCCGAACUGAUCAGGCCAGAGGAGAAAAUGGAAGAAUGAAUGAAAGAAAUAUCUAAAUCAGCUCGGGGUUUGGUGUAGCAUCCAGGAGGAACAAUCAACUCUGUUACUGUUGAAUGGCUGGAGCAAACCACGACAAAAUCAAACAAGUGAUGGCUAGAAAAGCUAGUUUCGACAACAAUGUUACAAACUCAUUAGUUUCAGAACUUUUAGUUUUAUCAGACAACUUGUAUUUCAGCAUUUGGAAAUUUAACAUACUCAUAUUGUCAUCAUUACUUUGGGUAUCUGAAAUAUAUUAUGUCUUAUUCGCGGAAAUAUCAGACAUCAUAAUUCUUGUGCGCA